CAUAUAUAUUGGCUGGGGUGAUUUCCGGUUGAAUAUAGAUUUAAUGGAUUUCUUGGUGUUGUUGGUUGGAUACAAGCGGCAGACAAGGGGCUUAAAGUUCGGCGGAAGUGUCAUCGGAGUUGGUUUGGAGGCAAGAACUUUGGGAAGUAAAACUAGGAGUUGGUAUUUAUGCGAUAAGUGUGAUCUGAGGACUAAAGUCGUCAAAGAUUCAAAGGAUUACUGGAUUUAAGGAGAUCGAGGAAACACAGUAGACGUUUAGCUUUGUUUGCACUGCUAUCGAGGUGAGUACGUAGAUGGUGGCUAGCUUCUCGAGGCGUGAGCGGUGUCCCCAUGGAUACAGUUGUGGUUUAUGGGUAGCAUAGGGUUUGAUUAUUAAAGACUUCCGCUUUGUUAAAUUUUAAAGACUUAUUAAUGAUCUCAAUAGAUUUCU